UACAGAGGUCUCAAGCGUUUGUUCGGAUUCAUUGGGCGUAAAGGGUGUGUAGGUGGCGCGCUAAGUCGGGUGUGAAAUUUCGGAGCUUAACUCCGAAACUGCAUUCGAUACUGGCGUGCUUGAGGACUGGAGAGGAGACUGGAAAUUCAUGGUGUAGCAGUGAAAUGCGUAGAGAUCAUGAGGAAGACCAGUGGCGAAGGCGGGUCUCUGGACAGUUCCUGACACU
rnacentral:rRNA from 1 species